AGGAGUAAGAAGAAAAAAUUGAAGAUUCCAGAAGAGAAUGAGAAGUUGAGAAGUGCAACGGACCACUUCACUUCACACUCCUUCCAGACUGUCUCUCUGGAGAUCAACUCUGUUCCUGAACCCCUGGAUACCUCUCAAUCAACUCCAAAUCACUAUAAUCAAAAAUCAUCAGGGGACACUGUGGACUGGAACAUUGAAGGAAGCUGUCCACAGAGAUCCCUUUCAAGGAUCUCUCUCCCUUUUUGUUCCUGGACUCCUGUAUUCAAAGCCAGUUAGCUUAGGAGUAGGGAUCAACUUGCAGCAGGCAAGAAGAGGGAUCAAGGCUGGGAAAGCCUUGAACCCCUAAACUUUGGAAGGUCAAUUUGUGAGAGGGGACAAGUGUAGGGCCUCCUGUAACCCCCAUUUCCCCUACUUGAUACUUCUUACCACUAAUUUAUCUGUUAUUCUAGAUUUAGGUCUGGGUCAGUUUCAAGCAAUAAUAAAGGGGGAUGAAGAUUUGGGGAGGUCCAAAAGGGAGGUUAACCUCUGGAUCCCAGUGAUCCAAAUUGCCAGACCCAAGGAAUAGACAUCUCUCCUUGGCUGUGGAGUAGCCCCAAGGUCCUGAAGGAAACUGGAAGUUAGUGUGCCUGAGGAAACCAGAGGCAGAAGAAUUCAUUGUGCCUCUCAAAAGGGGGGCAUUGUGUCCUCUUACAAUCUCUUCACCCUCUCAACCCCUUUCCCUCUCUCCCUCCAUUUUCCUUAUUCCCCUGUGCCCCUACUGUGUGAAUGUAAUAACAUGUCAAAUGCUCUGCCCACCUUAAAGUCUCUAUAAAUGCUAGAUUUUAUCUGGAGACAUAAGGAACCUCUGAAGGUUUUUGGGAAAUGGGGAAUGCUGUCUUCAGACCUAUGCUUUAAGAAAAUGACUUCAGCAGCUGGAUGGAGGCCAGAUCAAAGAGGAGAAGAAUGAAACCUAGAAGGCUACUGCAGUAAUAUAGGACCCCCUUCUGUGUCUUUCUAGAACUAUUUUGCAGAGCUGCAUUCAGCAAGGGCUAUGUAUUCAAGCAAGAUGCCAAGAGCACAAGGUUGAGCUCCUGCCAGAAGUCUCUUAACUAGACUUAAGGAACAGGUUCCAGCUGCUCUGAGCCAAAGAGCAGUUCAAAAAAGUCUGUCUAAUAUUAGAUUCUGAAAGCAAAGAAAUAUGAUUUGGGACUCUUCCAACGAAUGACAGAGGAAACAUGAUACAGUGGAAAGAGCAUGAACCCUGAAAUCAGAAGACCAGGGCUGAAAUCCCUCCUAGGACAUUUACCACCACAUAAACUCUCUGUGACUCAGUUUCCCGCUCUGGAAGAUGAGGGAUUUGGAUGAGUGUCCUCUGAGCUGAAUGAAUAUAGGUCCUCGAUCACACUAAAAUUUGUUAUACUUUGAAGUCUGGAAAUACAAUUAUAUUGGGACAUGCUUGACCUAAGUAUUAAUUUACUCUAGAUCAUUGAUUUAGAGGAGGAAGAGACCUUUGAACUUAUCUACUUUACAUAUGGGAAAACCAAAUCUGAAAGAAGUGAAGUGACUAGCAAAGGAGUGACAACUUGCAAGGGUCUGAGGCAAGAUUCAAACCUAGGUCUUCUUGAUUCCAAGACCUCUACAGGAUACAAAACUGCCUUUUUUUAAUUUGUUGAGUCAGAGUUUCUGAAAAAAGGAUUUUUCUUUAUCCUAGUAUAGGUCAGCUGGGCAUCCUGAAUACUAGUUUACAAUUAAGGAUGAUCUAUAAGUAUAUGAUAAGUGUCUAAAAAUAACCCCUGACAUUAAUCAAAGCUGUUGGACAAUAAAGUACCUACCAAUCGAUUUGUGGUGGCCUAGGCCCGAUCCUGUCUGGCCAGAGAAGCAUGGCUUAGAUUUCAAUGCCAAUACCACAAGAGCUGCUUAUUGAGCUAAAUUGGUUUUAGAGCUCUUUUUUCUAAGCUAUUGAGUCACAGAAUCAUAAAUCUAGAAGGAGUUUUAGAUCUCAUAAACUCCAGCCCUCUCAUUUAACAGUAAAAAAAAAAAAGCAAAACCCAAAGAAUUUAGGAAAUUUGCCCAAAAUGUCAUUUAUAUUUCAACCAAUUCAGUUGCUUCCCACUUUGUACAAAGUCACAAUCUCUCAAAUAUUCCAUUUCUUCACUUAUAAAAUGAUGGUGCUGAUUAGAAUAUAUCUAAGGUCCUUUAAAGUUCAAAACUAUGGACUUUAGCAUGCCAUUCCCUGCUAUUCUCCACUAUCUCCUAAAGUCUGACUAGAGAAAAUGAGUAUUGAACUAUAUUAUUAAUUAAUACCAUUUCUAGACAAAAUCAUUUCCCCCUUAACCUCUCAGACUGAACAGCCUGCUUCCAACCUGAAGAUAAUUCCAGCCCCUAAGAUAUCAAACUGGACUGAGUCUUUUGAUAAGAUCUUGGAAGGAUUAAAGGCAGGACUGGUCAGCUAUGAUGAACUCUGACCUAUUUGAAAGUAAGGUGGGUCAGCCAUGUUUUCCUUAUUUAGGCAAAGACCUACCUCCUCUGUGAUGAAAUAAUGAGGAAGGAGCUGAGGUCUCUAUGUCCACCUCCUUAUUAACUAUUCACCAAUUAGAGAUGUCUUGGAAUGUACAAGGGAGAAACUGAAUAAUGAGUGUCCAAAUUACAUCUAGAGAGCUUUGUGAAGGAACUUCCUGGUCUUUGAUCAUUGAGAUAAUCACUAAUCUAUUAAUUUAUUGGUUAUAUGCUAGCCUAAUCAAUAAAUCCAUAUUCUUACCCCAAAACAAGUCUCUUGAAUUGUUUAGUCUUCACAUAUCCAAGGACAUGUUUGUGGCUCCUGUAACACAUCACAUACUUUGUCCUCAUCUUCUCCUUUUGCUUUUAAUAUUUACCAACAUCAAGGUCUUUUCAUAUGAGUCCUAUCUUCUCUUUAUGUCCCAAAGUAUUUAAGCGUCAGCUUCAGUAUUUGACUUCUAGUGAAGAGUCUGAAUUAAUUGGCUUUUUUAAAAGUAUUGACUGAUUUGAUCUCCUUGCUGUUCAAGGGACACUCAAAAGUCUUCUCUAGCACCACAAUCUGACAGAGUCAAUUCUGCCGCAUUCAGUUUUCCUUGUAGUCCUACUCACACAGCCAUACAUUACAAUUGGAAAAUCCGUAGCCUUGGCUAUAUGGAUCAUGAUCAACAGGGUGAUGUCUCGACUUUUUAGUAUGCUCUCCAGAACUACCAUAACUUUCCUUCCAUGGAGCAAGUAUCUUUUAACUGACUGAAGUUGGUAUCUGCAGUCAUCUUUGAGCCCCAAAAUAUAAAAUCUAACACAACUUCUAUUUCUUCUCCCUCUAUUUGCCAGGAAAGGAUGGGACCAGAUGCCAUGAUCUUAGCUUUUUAAACUAAGCUUCAAAUCAACUUUUAUACAUUAUCUUGAUCACUGUAUAUAGUACAGAGAUUCCCUGUUCUAAGCACUAGGAAAAACUCAAAAGUUAAAUAAGAGAUAGCCCCUGAAUUCAUUGGGGCUCCCAAUCUAAUAAGGGAUUAGCAUAGACUAAAGAUUUCCAUGAGAUCCAUUGGGUAGUUUGGGGAAUUUACAACCAACACUACUAAUGUGGUUCUAGAAUCAUAGAUCGAGCUAGAAGGGACCUCAAAAACCCCUUAGCCCAAUGCACUCAUUUUAUAGAUGAGGAAAUUGAGGUCCUAGGAUAUUAAGUGACUCACUCAAGAUUGGUAAGCAUCAGAGGCAGGAUGUGAACACCCCUGACACCUGAUGAUUCUUUCUAUCAUAUCACACUAAUUCCUACACGGAGACUCACGAUUUUAAAAUUUUGAUCAUAUUAUUGAGAAGCAUUAAGGAACAGAAGGGCAAAAAAAAAAAGCACACUUUCCCUGACAUAAAGGAAAAGGUCAAGAAAAAGAGUUGAUGAACUUUCUAUCUAAUUAGAAAAAUAGUAAAAAAACCAAACAAACAAUCUUUCUAAUUUAUUUUGCAUACAGUAUGGGUACAUUAAUAGUUAUCUACAUAUUGUUGUAGUUACUAUGUACAAUGUUCUCCUGGUUCUGCUAACUUCAUUUUGUAUCAUUUCAAAUAAGUCUUUCUAGAUUUUGUUUAUGAUCGUCUUGUUUGCCAUUUCUUAUGGCACAGCAGCGUUCCAUUACAAGCAUAUACCACAACUUGUUCAGCCGUUCUUCAAUUGAUGGACAUCCCUCCAGUUGCUAGUUGUCACCACAAAAAAGAGCUGCUACAAAUAUUUUAGAAUAUAUAAUUUCUUUUCCUUUUCCCUUAAUUGCCUUAGAAAACAAACAUAAUAGUGUUAUAUAUAUAACUCAAAAGUUAUGCAAUUUUAUAACUCUUUGAGCAUAAUUCCAGAUUGCUCUCCAAAAUGACUGUAUCAGUUCAUAGUUCCACCAACAAUGUAUUAGUGUCCCCAUUUUUCCACAUCCCCUCCAACAUCUGUCAUUUUGCCUUUUUAUCAUUUUUGCUAAUCUGAUAGAUGUGAGAUGAUAUUCUUUAUUUUAUUUCCUUCAUGAAUUUUUGUCUAAUGUAAAUAAUAUUUGUCUUGUUUCACAAUAUUACAUACAGGAAAAUAUGUAUUAUAUGAUAAUAUAUGUACAACCUAUAUGCAAACCUGACUUCUUGGGAAGGAGGAAGGGUUGAAAAGAAAGGGAAAUUUUUAAAAAUUUAUUAGUUUCUUGUUGAAUAGAUGAGUAUUUAAUAUAAAUCUAAAAUUUAUUUAGAAUAUUUUCCAUAGUUACAUGGUUCAUAAUUCCUCCACAUUCCCUCCCCGCUCUGGGAGAUGACAAGCAGUUCUACUGGGUUAUACACAUAUCAUUGUUCAAAACCUAUUUCCAUGUUAUUCAUAUUUGCGGUAGAGUGAUCCUUUAACAUCAAAACCCUAAUCAUAUCCCUAUCAAACUAUGUGUUCCCAUCAUAUGAUUUUCUUCUGCAUUUCUGUUCCCACAGUUCUUUCUCUAGAUGUGGAUAGCAUUCUUCUAAGUUCUUCUGGAUUGUCCUGGGUCAUUGCAUUGCUGCUAGUAGAAAAGUCUAUUACAUUCAAUUGUGCCAUAAUGUAUCAGUCUCUGUAUACAAUGUUCUCCUGGUUCUGCUCCUUUUGCUCUGCAUCAAUUUCUGGAGGUCUUUCCAGUUUACAUGGAAUUCCUCCAGUUCAUUAUUCCUUUCUACACAAUAAUAUUCCAUCACCAUCAGAUACCACAAUUUGUUCAGCCAUUCCCAAAUCGAUGGAUACCCUCUCAUUUUUCAACUUUCUGCCACCACAAAGAGUGUGGCUAUAAAUAUUUUUGUACAAGUCUUUUUCCUUAUUAUCUCUUUGGAGUACAAACCCAGCAAUGGUAUGGCUGUGACAGAGGCUGGCACUAGGGGAAAGGUGCCAGGCUGAAGAGUGUGUGGAUCUGAUCUCCUCAUCAGGGGAGGGACCCUAGGAGAUUGGCAUCUUGAGGAAGAAAAAGUUCCCUUCUGAAGAGCAGUUGGUUUCUCAAUUUGGAGAAGCUGGAGAGAGAAGAUUAAACAAGACUUUCUCCUAAGGGUUACCCACUUUUUCCUGCUUGUGACUGAAAAUCCUUACCCCCCCCCCCCAACACUUCCCAAUUGAAGAGACUCAGUGAAGAGAAACCUGAGAAAAGGCAUUUUGAAUCUCUGUCAGACUUUACCUCAGCUCCUGUUGCCAAGGGGCCAAACCCAGGGUCAGUCAACCUGACUUUCUCUCAGGGGGCUUAGGCUGCCAAGGCCUGAAUUCCCUCCAAACUGGAGGAGAGAGGGAAAGGGUUUUAGCUAGAGAAAGGGACUCCUUUCCCCCACUAUCCUCUCACAUUCUUUCUCUGCCAGUUAUUCCUUUGUAUUACCCUGAUUGAGUUAAUUGACAUUAAAGUAGUUAUCUUUUCCCCAAGCUGUGAAUCAAGUGUGAAUGAACAGAUCAAAGGGAGAGACAUGUUCCUAAAAAGAAACCCUUUGGUCUCUAGUAGUGGGGGUGGGGGGAGAGGGACAAGAGCAAAUCUGGGAGAGCAGCCAUAGCUAAGGAGGGAAGGCAGAAAGGGGAAAAUCUUCAAACCCCCUCUCUUCUCUCUGAGCCAACCCUACAUACACAUCAGCUAUCCUCUCCUAGAUCCUGUUCCCUUUGCCAUCCCCAAACUUUUUCUCCAUUACAGGCUGGGUCAAAGGGUAGGCAAUAUUUUAAAGCCCUUUGUGCAUAAUUCCAAAUUGCCCUCCAGAAUGGUUAGAUCAAUUCACAACUCCACCAGCAAUGCAUUAGUGUCCCAAUUUUGCCACACCCCCUUCAACAUUUAUCACUUUCCUUUGCUGCCAUAUUGGCCAGUCUAAUAGGUGUAAGGUGGUGCCUCAGCGUUAUUUUAAUUUGCAUUUCUCUAAUCAGGAGGGAUGUAGAACACUGUUUCAUGUGCUUAUUGAUAGUUUUGAUCUCAUUGUGUGAAAACUGCUUAUUCAUGUCCCUUGACCAUUUGUUGAUAGGAGAAUGGCUUGAUUUUUUGGUAGAAUUGACUUAGUUCCUUAUAUAUUUGGGAGAUUAAACCUUUGUCAGAGAGUUUUAUUAUAAAAAUGUUCUCCUACUUUGUUGCUUUCCUUCUAAUUUUGGUUGCAUUGGUUUUGUUUGUAUAAAAACUUUUUAAUAUUUGAUGUAAUCAAAGUCAUUCAUUUUACAUUUUGUAAUGUUCUCUAUCUCUUGCUUGGUCUUAAAUUCCUUCUUUUCCCACAGAUCUGACAAAUAUACUAUUCUAUGUUCACCUAAUUUAUUCAUGAUUUUAUUCUUUAUAUUUAAGUCCUUUACCCAUUUUGAAUUUACCUUGGCAUAGGAUGUAAGAUGUUGAUCUAAACCUAAUUUUUCCCAUACUGUUUCCCAAUUUUCCCAGCAGUUUUUGUCAAAUGGUGAGUUUUUGUCCCAAAAGCUGGGGUUUUAGGGUUUAUCAAACACUAGCUUGCUGAGGUAAUUUACCCCUAGUUCAUUUCAUUGAUCCACCCUUCUGUCUCUU